rnacentral:rRNA from 1 species
AGUGAACGCUGGCGGUGGGCCUAACACAUGCAAGUCGAACGGCAGCACAGUAAGAGUUUGCUCUUACGGGUGGCGAGUGGCGGACGGGUGAGGAAUACAUCGGAAUCUACUUUUUCGUGGGGGAUAACGUAGGGAAACUUACGCUAAUACCGCAUACGACCUACGGGUGAAAGCAGGGGAUCUUCGGACCUUGCGCGAUUGAAUGAGCCGAUGUCGGAUUAGCUAGUUGGCGGGGUAAAGGCCCACCAAGGCGACGAUCCGUAGCUGGUCUGAGAGGAUGAUCAGCCACACUGGAACUGAGACACGGUCCAGACUCCUACGGGAGGCAGCAGUGGGGAAUAUUGGACAAUGGGCGCAAGCCUGAUCCAGCCAUACCGCGUGGGUGAAGAAGGCCUUCGGGUUGUAAAGCCCUUUUGUUGGGAAAGAAAAGCAGCAGGCUAAUACCCCGCUGUUCUGACGGUACCCAAAGAAUAAGCACCGGCUAACUUCGUG